rnacentral:snRNA from 1 species
AGCUCUAGAACAGUUCUAAAGCCAACCAUGAACGAUACAGAGAAGAUUAGCAUGGUGCCUGCUUGAGGAAGACAUGCAAAUUGGCCAAGUGUUCCAUAUAAUU